AAGAAAGUGCUUAUGUACGUAGAGGUUUAUGCCUUGAUGCAGAGGUCAAGGGUUCAAGUCUGACUUGUGACGAUUUCCUGCAUGUCUUUCCCUUCCCUUUCUCAUUUAGCUGUCCCAUCAAUUAAAGGCAU